AUCCAGUUGACGAGUCCGCAAUAAGACGAAAGGUGCGUCCUGAAU
rfam:Schistosoma mattheei strain Denwood, Zambia genome assembly, scaffold: SMTD_scaffold0023620